UACGUAGGCAGCGAGCGUUGUUCGGAGUUACUGGGCGUAAAGGGUGUGUAGGCGGUUGUUUAAGUUUGGCGUGAAAUCUCCCGGCUCAACUGGGAGGGUGCGUCGAAUACUGAAUGACUUGGAGUGCGGGAGAGGAAAGUGGAAUUCCUGGUGUAGCGGUGAAAUGCGUAGAUAUCAGGAGAACACCCGUGGCGAAGGCGGCCACUGGGC
rnacentral:rRNA from 1 species